rnacentral:rRNA from 1 species
CGAACGCUGGCGGCGUGCUUAACACAUGCAAGUCGAGCGGUAAGGCCUUUCGGGGUACACGAGCGGCGAACGGGUGAGUAACACGUGGGUGAUCUGCCCUGCACUUCGGGAUAAGCCUGGGAAACUGGGUCUAAUACCGGAUAUGACCUCCUAUCGCAUGGUGGGUGGUGGAAAGAUUUAUCGGUGCAGGAUGGGCCCGCGGCCUAUCAGCUUGUUGGUGGGGUAAUGGCCUACCAAGGCGACGACGGGUAGCCGACCUGAGAGGGUGACCGGCCACACUGGGACUGAGACACGGCCCAGACUCCUACGGGAGGCAGCAGUGGGGAAUAUUGCACAAUGGGCGAAAGCCUGAUGCAGCGACGCCGCGUGAGGGAUGACGGCCUCGGUUGUAACCGUACUUCUAGCAGGGACGAAGCGCAAGUGACGGUACCUGCAGAAGAAGCACCGGCUAACUACGCGCCAGCAGCCGCGGUAAGUCUGAUGGCG